GACGAACGUUGUCGGCGUGCCUAAUACAUGCAAGUCGAACGAACCGCGACUAGGUGCUUGCACUUGGUCAAGGUGAGUGGCGAACGGGUGAGUAACACGUGGGUAACCUACUUCAUAGUGGGGGAUAACAGUCGGAAACGACUGCUAAUACCGCAUAGGACAUGGAAUCACAUGAUUCUGUGAGGAAAGGUGGCGCAAGCUAUCGCUAAGAGAUGGACCCGCGGUGCAGUAGCUAGUUGGUAGGGUAAAGGCCUACCAAGGCGAUGAUGCAUAGCCGACCUGAGAGGGUGAUCGGCUACAUUGGGACUGGAACACGGCCCAAACUCCUACGG
rnacentral:rRNA from 1 species